rnacentral:rRNA from 1 species
AUUGAACGCUGGCGGCAUGCCUUACACAUGCAAGUCGAACGGUAACGCGGGGCAACCUGGCGACGAGUGGCGAACGGGUGAGUAAUACAUCGGAACGUGCCCAGUAGUGGGGGAUAGCCCGGCGAAAGCCGGAUUAAUACCGCAUACGACCUACGGGUGAAAGCAGGGGAUCGCAAGACCUUGCGCUAUUGGAGCGGCCGAUGUCAGAUUAGGUUGUUGGUGGGGUAAAAAGCCUACCAAGCCGACGAUCUGUAGCUGGUCUGAGAGGACGACCAACCACACUGGGACUGAGACACGGCCCAGACUCCUACGGGAGGCAGCAGUGGGGAAUUUUGGACAAUGGGCGCAAGCCUGAUCCAGCCAUGCCGCGUGCGGGAAGAAGGCCUCGGUUGUAACGCUUUGUCAGGAAGAAACGACUCCGGGCCGUAAU